rnacentral:rRNA from 1 species
GACGAACGCUGGCGGCAUGCUUAACACAUGCAAGUCGAACGGGAAGGCCCUGCUUUUGUGGGGUGCUCGAGUUGCGAACGGGUGAGUAACCCUUGGGUAACCUGCACUUGACUUUGGGGUAACUUCAGGAAACUGGGGCUAAUCCCGGAUAGGAGCUCCUGCUGCAUGGUGGGGGUUGGAAGGUUUCGGCGGUUGGGGAUGGACUCGCGGCUUAUUAGCUUGUUGGUUGGGUAGUGUCUUACCAAGGCUUUGACGGGUAGCAUGGCUGAGCGGGUGACCUGCCACGUUGGGACGGAGAUACGACACAGACUCGUACGGUAGGCAACAGUGGAGAAUAUAGCACUAGAGACGGGAGCCAGACGUAGCCACGCCGCGUGCGGGAUGACAGCAUUGGGGUAGGAUUGCGAUGUCCUCUGUGACGAAGCGUGAGUGACAGUAAUGGGUAAAUAAGCACCGGCUAACUACGUG